AAAUAAAUAAAACAAUAACAUUUUUGAAAUAUUUAUAAAACAUUUAAAAAAUCAACAUUCCACACACAAGAGUGUUAUUUGCUUAGCAAGAUAUCAAUACAACAUAUUCAGAUAACAAGCUGUUAAAAUGAUAACAAAUAAGGACAGUUCGAUGUCAAAAUGACAACGUUAACUUGCUACUUGGGUAAUCUCGAUUUUUUCACAAAUAACUGUGAAAAUAAAAUAAAUUUUUGAAUUCUAGGAUUACUUAAUUCAAAAGAAAGAAAAAUUUAAUGGAAGUGAUAAAGAUAAAAAGAUAGCACAGUUGCUAAAAGAAAAUAAAGAUUUGCGUUCGCAAAGCAUAAAACUGAAGGCGCAAAUAAAAGAUAAAGAAAUAAUGAUUAACGAAUUAAUAACGUUAAAUAUGGAUCUUCAAAAACAAGUGAUUUCAAAAUAUACAGAAAUAUCUAAGAUAAAUAAAGAAAUUCAAACAAAAGUUCUGAAUAACUUUGAUGAAUUGUUACAUGUUGUAUCAGAAUACUUUAAAAAGAAUUCCACUAUUCCGCAAGAACAAAUUGGUUUGCCUCCAAUU